AUGAGUGAUCCAUGUGAAUGCUGCCAGAUCAAGCUUAAGUUUCUAAGGCAGAUCAAUGGCAACUUCAUGCACAGCCUGGUCAUACCAGAGUGGUUUGUGAACCAAUUUGGAGGAAAGAUCUGGAGAACUGUCAAAUUAGAGUCCCCUAAUGGUAACGUCUAUGACGUUGGAGUUACCGAGAAUAUGAACCGAACAAUUUUGAAGUCUGGAUGGGCAUCAUUUGUUGAUGCCAAUAAAAUAGAAGAAAAUUAUUCAUUGAUGUUUCGUUACCUUGAAAACGCCCGCUUCAAGGUUACAAUAUUCGAUUCCAGUGGUAAGCAGAAAGCAUCGUGCUGUGCUAGGAUGGGAACUGCUGGUCCUGAUGUUAGGAACCCAAGCACAUUUGAUGUUGAGAAUUCUAGUAGUUCUUGUGGUGGUACUACUCAGUCUUCACCAAGCGAAAGAUCAGAUUCAGAUGGAAGCCAAAAGGAAAGCUCGUACGGUUAUAAAAAAUCAGCAAAGAAGGCUGCAAUAUCAGAUUCUUCUGAGGAAUUAUCAGCUGAAGACAGUCUAUCUAGAGGCAAUUUGGUGGAUUCAUAUGGUGUACAGGUGCAUUUGAAUGACUAUGUCCUAUCAGGGAAAUGUGAUCUUACAGUAGCACAGGAGGCAAAAAUACAAGCACUUGUAGAGAAAAUUCGAUCUCAAAUCCCGGUGCUUGUUGUACAGAUGAAGAAGACCAGCGCAAACUUUGGUAAUCUGCUGCCUACAAAGAACAAGGAAUGGAAGUGCAGAUUUAAUCCAGGUCGGCGCAACCUUUAUUUGGGCUACUUUGUCCGUGAAAACUGUGUUCAAGAGGGAGAUAUCUGCCUCUUUCAACCAAUAGCAAAGGCUAAGGAAGGAAGAUUUACAGUAAUUGUCCAUCUUCUUCACAAAGAGAGCGUUCAUCAUUCCCCUGGUGGAACAGCAGGGAUGACACACACGGCUACCGACGGAAGAACAGGCGCAAAGACAUCCUUAACAGCCCGUGUUAAGGAGGAACCAACCACUGAUGGCGAAGAUAUGUCAUCAUUGGGACCUAAAGAGGAUGGAGACAAUUCUGAGGGAGCUCCUGAAACCCCCUUCGUACUGCCAGACAGAGCCUCUAUAACGCCAGCACAGGAGCAGAAAGUGUGGGAGAAAGUAGAAGCCAUUGAGUCGACAGUACCAGUUUACGUCGCGAUCCUGAACAAGUGCAAUGUUGCUCGCAAAUCCGGCAUGAUGAUAAACAUGGGAAAGCAGUACGCGUCAAGGUAUCUCGAAAAACAGUACUUUACUGGGCAUCAUGGAAAGAAGAAUGUUAUCAGUCUGGUGCUUCAACGGGAGGGGAAGAGUAGGACGUGGGACACGGAGCUGCGACGCAGGACUGAUCGUAUGAUGAUCUGUAAAGGAUGGGUUGCUUUCGCCCGUGGCAACCACCUGCGGGUGGGUGACCUCUGCCUCCUCAAGCUGAUGGAGAGCGAGGAGCCGCUGAAGAUGAUGUGCCGCAAGGUACAACUGGUGUUGCAUGCCAAUGAUGUGAGGGUGCCCGUGUGCUACGAGACAACCGCCAACCAUUGCUUGCUGGAACUGCUAGGACGACGUGGUCUACUGCGGGAUCCACCACAGGCUGCUGCAAGGGGACUGUGGGGCUACUGCAAACAGUUGGGGUUUGUUACAAGCAGUGUGGUGCUAGCAAUGUUGGAAGGCCACACACCAUUGCUGGCGAUGCAACGAGGUUGCUGUGAGCAGCACGGUCAACGAUGUUUAGAGGUUGUGAUGUCCCACACGGCUGCUUCAACGGGGGUUGGUGGCAAUGCUACCACAGUUGACGCAACUACUAUGAGUAGCUUUGUUGGCGAUGUUGAGAAGGCUGGUGUGGCUACUCCGACACAAAAACAUGUUGCUAUGAGUGGCAUUGUUGCGUCGGUGAGUAGGGGAUCCAGGGCCUACAUAGGAACCAGAUAA
rnacentral:rRNA from 1 species